rnacentral:lncRNA from 1 species
UCCAUUUUCUAAACUGUGCCCGAUUGUAAUAGUUUCGAUUGAAUCUGUCUAAAUGAUAAGUUGAAUCCUUUUAUGAUACUGCCACUGUAAAUCAUUUUUGUUAAUCUUUUGUGAAGGCGUGUAUAUUACAAUAAAUUCCAUAAUUUUCAAUGCAUCUACUUUAUCCUGCAAUGCAUCUAGUUUAAUAAUCGUUUCGAUUGAAUCGAUCGAUUUUACAAGUAAAUUCCUUCUUUUAUAACGCAAUUGUAGUUCCUCCGUCUGAAUGAUUUGUAUACACGUAAAAAAAAAAUUGAAUAAUUUCUCCGGGUUUUUAGCCUUAAUCUUCCUCGCUUGCUAAAGAUGUGUUGGAAGAUGGUGUAAGGAUGGUGUGUUAGGGAAAUUUAUAGGCUUAGACAAGGAUACUGGAUGGGACAAUGGAUUCCCCCGUAUGGUCUUGGGAGAUAAUCCAAGGCUUGCGUAGGCAGGGUCGCAUCCCUGAAGUAGGUCUAUCCUCCACCGGGAUCGUGUAGGAGUACCUACCCGCUACCUUUAUCUAUGAUAGUAUAAUGAAUUAUUUAUAGUGUUUUUUAAAGACUUUUUGAAGUAUGCCUGAUUAUAAUCGUUUCGGUUUAAUCAGUCGCAAUGAUAAAUGAAAUCCUGUUCUUUAAAACGCUAUUGUAAACUAUUUUUGUGAAUUUUCCGUGAAGACGUGUCUAUUACAAUAUAAUUAUCAAUUUACAAAGCUUCCAAAUCACUCUGCAAUGCGUUUAUUAUUAUAAUCGUUUCUAUUAAAUCGAGGGAAUUUAUGAGUUGAAUCCUUUUUUUAUAACACUAUUGUAUACACCUUUUGUGAAUUAUUUGUUAAUGCGUAUCUAUGACAUUAUAAUAAAAUAUUUGAAGAACUGUAAGAUAACUCUGUAAAUCAUGCUCGAUUAUAAUUGUUUCGGACUGUAUAAAUCCUAUUUCUAAUGAGUGGAGUCGCUUUUUGAAAAUCAAAUGCUAACGCUUUAAAAAAUCAAGUUGACAAAAUCUAGAACAUCGUAGAUUGGAUGAGAUUAAAUUAUCUAACUUGACCAAUAUUAUUAGUCCUCAAUAAUCACUUUUAUAUGAUACGGGAAAAUGGAUUUUACUCGAUGUCCAGCACAAUUGUCGGAGGAGAAAAAAAGCAAUUGUCAUUCUCAAGUUGACAACAUCAAAAAUCGGGACUAUUGUUACGUAUAAAACGUAACGAAAGGAAUAAAUCGAUCAUCAUAUUGUUUGAGACCAUUCGGGUCUUGAGAAUCGUAUUCGAAGAUGCAAGGAAAUAAUAAUAAUACAUUCCUGGAGGUCAUAAAACUAGCAAACAAACUUACUAAGAAAAUACAUGCGUUUCUAUCUAAAGAAACUAUUUCUUUCAUCCUAAAUAAGUUUUUCUCGUCGCAUAAUUUCCACUGCAACAUCCACUAAACAAAGUUAACACUACGCCGGCCGGCGACGGCACAUUGGUGUACCGUGGUUAGACUUUGAUUUACUGAGGACCAAUAACGAAUUUGACAUAUCUCCUGGUCCAAACGUAUUUUCCGAAGAUACACAGAGCGUCGAGGAUAUCAUAGAAUUAUUUUGGAACGAUUUAUUUGAAUAUAUUAGCAGCGAAACGAACAAGUACUACAAUCAAAAUUAACAAUAGAGUACUAAAUUACAAUAGAAGGAAACUAGAUAAAUAAAAGUGCCAAAUUCGUUGACGUUACGGCAGUCGAACUUAGAAAAUGAUUUGAGUUUGUUAUCCUUAUGGGAAUUGUAAAAAAAAACCAAGGAUGGAUGAUUGUUGAUCAACGAAUCCAUUGAUAGAAACUUCAAUAUUUCGCAUAACGAUGUCCUGUAACAGAUUCAGACAAAUGUUAUCAUUUUUAUCAAAUAGUGAUAUAUAAAACAAACAAAUUUUACAUUUAUUUACAUAUGUAUAUCUUCGAAAUUUCAUGAAAAUAUGGGGACAGAAUUGAAAACUCAUUAAAACUAACGAUGAGAUUAGUAAAACUUGACAAUUUAUAAUCUCCCGAUAACCUCAAGAACGGCAGGCGCCAAGCAAAGUAAUCCGAAGUAAUCCGAAGUAAUCCGAAGUAAUCCGAAGUAUUUCGAAGAAAUGCUGCAGCGCCAAGUGAAGAAAUUUGUACGAAACAUGUUCGUCGUCCCGACAAAAUAUCAAAAAGGAAACCAACUCGACCAGACGACGCAUCUGGAACCGGGCAGUAAGCAAGAACCACGGACUCUGCGAUACAAGAAACAUUAUUACAGUUAAGAAUAAAAAUCUUUCUCCAAUGACGUCAAAGUCCAAAGAAGGGCAGGAAACGUGACAUGAAAACCUGUUAGGAAGGACUCCCCGACAUCAUUGUACAAAACAGUAGAAUUGUUAUACAAAUUUAACCGAUUUUUACUUCUGUAGUUUUGGGUAAUGUUGUUAUCUUAGCUUUUUGAUAACACUGAUUUCCAUAAUCGACACUUAUGAGAGACUAUUCCAAUAGAACUAGGAAAUGAUAACUCGCUAUUUGUCGGUUCGAAAAAAGAGCAUAUCGGCAACUAAACGUCGAAAUUUUACGCCGAAAGGAAUCCGUUUCCCUAGACGAUAAAAGAAGGACACUUUUCUAACGACUGUCUUAGUGUCUGGUUCAGCACUGCAUAUUAUAUAUUAUAGCACUGUAUAUUGUAUAUUAUAGCACUGUAUAUUAGCACUGUAUAUUAUAUUGUAAACUCUUCCGAUCUAUAUUUUGAUAGUCUGAUUAGUUUCUGUUCAAUUUAUUACUUUGUCUCAAGAACAAUACAUUUCGCUGUAAUUUAACCGGUUUAUAUAGUCGUUUAUGUAUUAAUUAUUAGAUUAUAUUGCUUAGUAAUUCGACGAUCAAGUCGUUGAAUUCGUCACGACAGCCGCUAUCAGAAAAUAUGUACCAAAACAUAACAUUCCAUUUAAAAAAACAAACUUGAGGUUUAAACCUCAGAAGCGACUGAACCUAGCAAAACAAAAAUUGGCGUCAAAAUUUUUGACGAAAUUUUUCAUGCAACUUUCGUUCUAUAAAUUUUUCUGCUACUAUCAUAUUUUCGUAGCUAUCAUACUUUCGGAGCUAUCUUGCUGGUAAGAAAGUUAGUGAAUCACCCUGUAUAUUGCGUGCAUCUCUUUUAAAGCGUUAUUAUCAAGUUUAUUUGUAUAUAAAAAUAUUACACGAAUAUCGAGAUUGAAUUCAUGUGGUUAUAAAAUUUAACAAAAAUAACAAAAUUGAAUACUUUUGAGAAAAUUUUCUUUGUUAAAAUGCGACUCUGACAAUGAAGAAUACGACUAUGAACGAAAUUAUGCCAAAAAGAAAAGAAAAACGAAGACAGAGAAAUAAAUGUUCACAUGUCAAGAAAAUCCGACAUUUCUAAUACAUCAAACUAAUACAAGAGAUUGUUAAUGUAGAUUAUAAGAACUGAAUGUAUAAACAAUUUACGAGAGAUAGGAAAUACGUCUAUCCUGUAUCUAAUUAACGAGUAGACUAACUAACUAUAAAGUUAACGAGAAUAAACAUAAAAAUGUUCAACUAAUAUCUUAACGGUUAAACGUAUGCUUGACGACUCACUAAUCAAACUUUAUCGCUUUUACAAAUUUGUACAAAUUUGUAAAUAUAAUAAGAUAAUAAGAUAUCUUAAUAUCUUAAUAUCUUAAGAACAGAUUUACCUAGAAAAAAUACUAUAACACAUAUUCCCCUCCAAGAAGGGGUGCAAGUAUAAUAAUUACUCGCCUACAAGAAAUAAAUAGAAUAAACAAAUCUUAUUAUCUGUUAUAAAUUUGUACGAGAAACAAUUCAAAAGUUACAUUAUUAUCUUAACGAUUUCAUGGUUUUGUAAAGUUAAAUAAAUUUAUUAAAUUGU